GACGAACGCUGGCGGCGUGCCUAAUACAUGCAAGUAGAACGCUGAAGAGAGGAGCUUGCUCUUCUUGGAUGAGUUGCGAACGGGUGAGUAACGCGUAGGUAACCUGCCUUGUAGCGGGGGAUAACUAUUGGAAACGAUAGCUAAUACCGCAUAACAAUGGAUGACACAUGUCAUUUAUUUGAAAGGGGCAAUUGCUCCACUACAAGAUGGCCCUGCGUUGUAUUAGCUAGUAGGUGAGGUAACGGCUCACCUAGGCGACGAUACAUAGCCGACCUGAGAGGGUGAUCGGCCACACUGGGACUGAGACACGGCCCAGACUCCUACGGGAGGCAGCAGUAGGGAAUCUUCGGCAAUGGGGGCAACCCUGACCGAGCAACGCCGCGUGAGUGAAGAAGGUUUUCGGAUCGUAAAGCUCUGUUGUAAGUCAAGAACGAGUGUGAGAGUGGAAAGUUCACACUGUGACGGUAGCUUACCAGAAAGGGACGGCUAACUACGUGCCAGCAGCCGCGGUAAUACGUAGGUCCCGAGCGUUGUCCGGAUUUAUUGGGCGUAAAGCGAGCGCAGGCGGUUUGAUAAGUCUGAAGUUAAAGGCUGUGGCUCAACCAUAGUUCGCUUUGGAAACUGUCAAACUUGAGUGCAGAAGGGGAGAGUGGAAUUCCAUGUGUAGCGGUGAAAUGCGUAGAUAUAUGGAGGAACACCGGUGGCGAAAGCGGCUCUCUGGUCUGUAACUGACGCUGAGGCUCGAAAGCGUGGGGAGCGAACAGG
rnacentral:rRNA from 1 species